UUAACGGCCGCGGUACUUUAACCGUGCAAAGGUAGCAUAAUCAAUUGUCUUUUAAAUUGGGACUAGUAUGAACGGCACCACGAGGGUUUAACUGUCUCCCCCUUUUAAUCAAUGAAAUUAAUCUUCCCGUGAAGAGCCGGGAAUAUAAUUAUAAGACGAGAAGACCCCAUGGAGCUUUAAACUUAUUACCAUUUAUUUAAUAAUACAACACACUACCACAUAAAAUGUCUUAUAUAGUUUUGGUUGGGGCGACCCUGGAGAAUAAUAAAUCCUCCAGAUUGAAAGGAUAUAAUCCUUAUAUGAGAACCACAAUUCAAAUAAACAAAAAUUUGACAAAACUGACCCAGAAUCAACUGAUCAGUGAACCAAGUUACCCUGGGGAUAACAGCUCAAUCCAUUUUAAGAGCCCAUAUCGACAAAUGGGUUUACGACCUCGAUGUUGGAUCAGGGGAUCCUAGCAGCCAGCCGUUGGCUGCUGGUUCG
rnacentral:rRNA from 1 species